rnacentral:rRNA from 1 species
AAGUAAAAAGUCGUAACAAGGUUUCCGUAGGUGAACCUGCGGAAGGAUCAUUAUCGAGUUUUGACUGGGUUGUAGCUGGCCUUCCGAAGGCAUGUGCACGCCCUGCUCAUCCACUCUACACCUGUGCACUUACUGUGGGCUUCAGAUCGUAAAACGGGUCCCUUUACCGGGCUUGCGGAGCGUGUCUGUGCCUGCGUUUAUCACAAACUCUAUAAAGUAUCAGAAUGUGUAUUGCGAUGUAACGCAUCUAUAUACAACUUUCAGCAACGGAUCUCUUGGCUCUCGCAUCGAUGAAGAACGCAGCGAAAUGCGAUAAGUAAUGUGAAUUGCAGAAUUCAGUGAAUCAUCGAAUCUUUGAACGCACCUUGCGCUCCUUGGUAUUCCGAGGAGCAUGCCUGUUUGAGUGUCAUGAAAUCUUCAACCUGCAAGCUUUUGUGGUUUGUAGGCUUGGACUUGGAGGCUUGUCGGCCGUUCUCGGUCGGCUCCUCUUAAAUGCAUUAGCUUGGUUCCUUGCGGAUCGGCUCUCAGUGUGAUAAUGUCUACGCUGCGACCGUGAAGCGUUUGGCGAGCUUCUAACCGUCUCAGUUGGAGACAACUUUAUGAUCUCUGACCUCAAAUCAGGUAGGACUACCCGCUGAACUUAAGCAU